rnacentral:rRNA from 1 species
GUAAUAGCUCACUGGUCGAGUCGGCCUGCGCGGAAGAUGUAACGGGGCUAAACCAUGCACCGAAGCUGCGGCAGCGAACGUAUCACUUAAAGCGAUUCAGCGGGUUACGAUUGACGGAGCGAAGCGACGUCAAAGCGUAUACAAAGUCGAGUCGGUUUAAGGAUACGUUCGUUGGGUAGGGGAGCGUUCUGUAAGCCUGUGAAGGUGUCCUGUGAGGGAUGCUGGAGGUAUCAGAAGUGCGAAUGCUGACAUAAGUAACGAUAAAGCGGGUGAAAAGCCCGCUCGCCGGAAGACC